AAAAAAACUGGAAAAUGUAUGAAAUGUAUUAUUUUAAAAUCGUAAAUAUUACGGCCUAUCAAAACUAGUGUAACCGAACUCCACUCAGAAUCGUUUUUCGUUAGCAAAGAUUAAUAGUUGCGUACGGAUAUAUUCUACCCUCCCAACUUUUCUCCUGCAGCAGUAGCCCGCCUACCGUGCCAAGUACGUCCGUAUCUUUUUCUUUGUUAUUAUUUUCAAUAGGACCGCGGUAGCGUGAGCGCCAUAAACCCGCGAAUAAACCCGAGUCAGUUUAAUAUUUUCGUAUUCAAACGGCCGCUUCAGAACUACUCGACUAGCAACAGUUUUCCAUCGCUCAAAUAAAUAACGUACCUGUAUAAUAAUAAUUUGAACCCGGAACGUUCGAUUUUAUUUUAUUUUCUGCGUUAUUUUAUUACUAUCGGACGAAAUCCCGUCGGUAAUAUAUUUUGCGAAAUUGAAUUCUCGAUUUAUUCAUUUUCUUGUUUACAUCACGGCGUGAAUUAUUAUUAUAUUCUACGCGUAUAUAAUUCAAUUUUGUAUGCAAAUCUCGGUUCCCGCCACCACCGCGUACCAUGUAUAUAAACCUAAAUAGGUUUGAGAGUAAAAUUCCGUUUCCGGCAAAAUUGCUCGGACCGGAGUAUUAAAAACGAGACAGGAAACAAUAUUUUUAUUCUAUCGCAAAAAAAAAAACCAAUUUGAAAUAUUACGCUUAUAAAAGUCUCGCGCGCAUAAAAAUCGUAUGGCAUUCAUUAACGAAACACGGACACAACGGAAACAUUAAACGUUAAUAUUCUGAAAUCAUGUUUACGACUUACACGUCUCUAAUAUUUCAUAAACCGCCUUGGUUCGACAUUUCGCAGCUCUGCAAA